AAUAAAUAGAUUAGUGUGAAAAACAACAUUUUCAAUUGCUUAAUGAAAAGGUGGAAACAUAUUUAAGUUCUUAAAGGGAUCGGACAAGAGUCACAGAUAUAUAUGUCUUACGACAUAUUACAUUGGUGAUCCUUAAGCUUGGGUUUCAUGGAGUCACAUUCUUGGAUCCUUAAUUAAGCUUCUCUAAUUUCCCUUCUCCACUUUGUGUAAUAUCGGAGAUAACAAAAGAUAAACUCAUCGAAGGGUCAGGCCUCUUCUAGCCAAGUGUGGUAUAAACAGUCCUCCCUCCUGUUUCUAAGGUAAUAAAUCAAAGUAACCGUACGUACAUAUGAUUUUGCUCUUCUUUCGUUAAAGAGAGAAAAUCUUAUGUUUGUUUUGUUGUUCCUUUUGUAACAUGCAGCUUGAAGAACAGAGCAGAAGACAGGCCGGUCUACCUCCGACAAAAUUCGAUGAGUUUAUCUUUUGUUAUCUCAAACAUUAUAACUUUUGUUAAAAAAAAAUUAUCUUUCUUAUAUCCGAUGGAAUGAAAGCCACGUAAGAUCCACUCUCUUUGAAUUUCAAUGAGUUAGUGAAUGGACGUUGCAAUUUAUUUCAUAUUAGAUAAAAAAAAAAUCAUUGAGUUUAAUGGGAGAUGCGGUUUAACAAAAUGUCUUUCUUAUAUAAUAAUAAUUUGGAAUAAGAAAAACAUGUAACGUCAAUUAUGCGCAUCUAUUGUUUUAAACAAUAGUUUAAUUUAGGAAUAUGCAUGGCUUAACAAAUAGUUGACAAUGUGUAUUAGUUACAGCAACUAAUUCAUAAUAAUCAAAUUUCAGAAAAUAUAAAUUCAUUUGGAAAAAGAACAAACAACAACUAUAUAUAUAUAUAUAUAUAGAUUUAUGUAACCUUUACUUUAUUCUAAUAAAUACUACGUACUUAGCAUUUUAAUAAUAAAUUUAUAACUUCUACAUAUAUAUAUAUACACGUAUAUAACAUCUAUACUAAAAUAAGAAAAUUAUUAUACUAAAAUAAGAAAAUUACUACGGGGUAAAUUUGUUAAAUACAACAUAGUAAAUACAACAUCGAAACAUUUACGAACCACAAAAAUUCAAUCACAAAUUUAUUAAAAAAAGAUUAAAUCCGUGGUGUACUACGG
rnacentral:lncRNA from 1 species